rnacentral:lncRNA from 1 species
ACCAACUUGAAAGAAUACAACUGCCUUCAGUCAAUCUAAAGAGUAUAUCAUCAAGAACUCAAAAUCGGAAUAACCAGAGAACAACUUCUAAGAAACUGACAAUUGAUCUCUACAUUAGAAUCAUCCUCGGUAUCCAGUUAAUCACUAACCCUUCAAAAUCAUGCUCUCUAACAUACCUAAUAGAAAAUCCAGAGGGGGCA